CAGCAGCCACGGGAAUACGUAGGGUGCGAGCGUUAAUCGGAAUUACUGGGCGUAAAGCGUGCGCAGGCGGUUGUGUAAGACAGGUGUGAAAUCCCCGGGCUUAACCUGGGAACUGCGCUUGUGACUGCACAGCUAGAGUAUGGCAGAGGGGGGUGGAAUUCCACGUGUAGCAGUGAAAUGCGUAGAGAUGUGGAGGAACACCGAUGGCGAAGGCAGCCCCCUGGGCCAAUACUGACGCUCAUGCACGAAAGCGUGAGGAGCAAACAGGAUUAGAUACCCCCGUAGUCCCUGUCUCUUAUAC
rnacentral:rRNA from 1 species